rnacentral:tRNA from 1 species
UGGCUCAGUCAGUAGAGCAUGAGACUCUUGAUCUCAGGGUUGUGAGUUCGAGCCCCAU